GUACAAUAAAAUGAGGUUUAAUGGGUCUUACAGGGAAGCAAAAGUAAAAUGUCCUUAGAGAGCCAAUUACUAGAAGGUAACUGGAGUUGUUGUUCUGCUUGUCUGAUAAAUGAGGGCGGGUGACAGCUCCAAGUGUGUGCACAAAGUCCAGUCUGUAUCUCAAGUACAAAGCUCCACUACAAAUCAUACUCUGGAGAAGAGUAAGUGUAGUUAAGACGUUCUCCUGUGCAACUUCUUACCUUCCUGAACUGCCAUUUACCAUCAGUAGAUCUUCACAGAUCAAACUUCUCACUGCACGCAGAAUUCCUGCUUCUGUGUCGGGAUCAAAAAGCUAAGAAGAACUCACUGUGAGUUUGGUAGAGCUAUCUCAUUAAGUGGACAAUAAGUUAGAGUUCAGUGACUCCCGAGUCAGAGUGAUUUGGUGUGGUACUGAAAACAGCUUGUGAAGUUGU
ensembl:lncRNA